rnacentral:rRNA from 1 species
AUGCGCACACGAGGAGCGACGGCGACCGCGUCUGCCGCCAACACCGAGCUCUUCGUUCUUUCAAGCCCUAUGUUGCUUACUCAAAUGUUUGUGGCGAUUGUAUCCUUGUGCCGUGAAUAUUUGUACUUAGCAGAUCAAUAUAAACAUAUUGGCUAUCUAUUUACCAAUUCAGAAUUUAAAGCACUUUAUUUUAUGGCCUUGAGUAAAAGUUCAGUCGUUGUUGGCUAG